UGCAGUUCAAAAGCUAAACCUCCCAUUGGAGAACAGAAAAUUUAAUGAGCUUUUAAUGGAAUGCAAUGCUCAGAGUAGUAAAUUAUUUGUUAGUUGACGAUGCAAUCAGCAUGCUGAUUAAGGUUGCUUGGUUUUUUACUAAACAUUAACUGAAUGAAAACGGGUAGUCCUUGUUCUGCUUGGGGGGCUUUAAGGAAGCAAAUGGACUUUCAGAACAGAGAUUGUCAAUAAAGGUUCUGACACAACCACUUUGCUCGUGUAGAUCCUCUUUUUAAAAUUCACAGGAAAUCAGAUCAUCAGGGGAGGGGAGGAAGAGAAGAGGUGAGCAGAUGGUCAAGCAGACUCAUCAGUCAGCUGGGUGUGAUGAUCUAUUGUUGUUGUCCAGUUAUGAUCUGUACUGAAUAUGGAAAGAGGUGAAACAGAGAAUACUCUUCUUGAGCUCUGGAUGUAUCCUCAUGACACAGACCACACUGGACACCAACUCAGAUAUUGGGGGAAGGUUUCACGACCACUGAGUGCAGACGUGCUGAUCACUGGGCCCCCUGAUACACAGCGGCUAAGCUCUCCUCUCAAGCUGGUGGGGCUGGUGCUGCCUUGAAGUGCUGAGAGAUGCCAUGCCAAUUCACAGCAAGGUCUUUAUUGUUAGAACUCCUGCAUCAUGACAUCUUUAUUCAUGUGAAAAUACAGGAUGAAUUUCAACUAUAUGAUAUUGUUUAUGUUCAUCAGAAAUGUUAUUUGUCUUUACAAAGUCUGGUUUCAAUGAACUGACUAUGUAAUGGAUAUUAAAUAAACAUGGAAUUUUACAUGUUCAUAAUAUUUGGUUUCUUGUUGUGAUUUUGAUGAACUAUACUUUCAAACACUGUCAGUUCAUCCUUAUUUACAAACGAAACGUUUGCUUGUAGUGGAGUGAUAUAGUAACUUGCUUUAUUUUAAGUCAAGUUUUCUAUUCAAUGUUUAAUGUGAAAUUGACUCAAAAUGUUCUUUUAGGCCACAUUUACAUUUCCCUCUGUAUAACAUGUAUUAUACUAUUUUAACAAUGUUGUGAGCUAUAUAAACUAAAGACAUUCUAAUUCUGUUCUUAAUGUAUUUUUCCAAGAUAAAUAAUUUAUAAUGCACUAAUAAAAGUAAGGAUCUCAUGUUAAAAGAAUUGUAUGACCUACUGAAAUUGAUCUAUGGAAACUGAUUCUCUUAAAAAUAAUUUCAUGAAAUUAUUUUGUACAAAUUUGACUUUAUUAUAUGAAUUCUUGACAACAAAUAUAAAACAAAAAGAACUUGAACUCUCCCUCUUCAUCAUUUUACACACUGAAGAGAAGUAAUUGAAUACUUUCUAACUUUAUGAUUUUAGGGUUUCUUAGAAAAAGAAAUCAGAUGAAUGUAAACAUAUCAGUUGUAUAUAACAAUUCCAGCUAUCUAUUUAAACUAAAAGGCCUUUUCAAAGUACAUCUACUCUUUUCACAAAUAUAAAGUGAUAUAAUGAAAUGUUUUCAUCUUGCCAUCCAGAAGAAGACAUGUCUUUUUUUUUUUUUGGAAGGCUGAAAAUAAGUAAUCCUGAGCCUAACAGGUACCUUAUAUCAGGACUCAUAAGCAUCAUGUGAGAUAAGAAAAGCUAUGAAAGGGCAAACAAAUAUUCCAAGCACUAAGGUUCCUUUAACUUUAAAAGGUUUAUUUAAAAUGGGCAGUCAUGGCAUACUAGGACCACCUACCAUUAUCACGUACAAAUCUGUGUAUUAACAUUCUGCCUUUGCAGGGAGGCACCAGGAAGAUGCUGGGGAAGGGAAAGGACCAGCUUUCAGAGAGAGUUUCAAACAACACGAUGAUGGUGUCUGAUCUUCAGUUUUGGAGUUGCAGGUGGUGGUGGAAAUAAGGGAAAGGAGGAGGGAACUGGAAAACCUGAAGAGAUGAAGGAAUGGAAGAAGUCUGUAGGAAUUUUAGUGACAAAAUGCAGAUUCCUAUGACCAUGCUUCAGAGCAUCCUAGCACCAGUUUGCUAGGGGCAGUAAGAUUAUUUUAAAAGAGUCGGAACCUCGGAGUCAUAAGAAAUAGCUUCUUAUGCCAUUUCUUGGAUUGGGAUACUUUUGUGGGUGACUAACCUCACCCAUUCCUGGGAUUCUUUCCAUUUGACUAGUUUCAUUUUUCAGGCAGUGACCUUUCCCUGACCUCAGCCCCAAACUCCAGGUCACCUUGCUGUAGCCUUGGUGCAGGGCUGAAUAGAGAGCUUACCAGAUUGUUGGCACCAGAUAAGUGGUACUGAGCACAAUCGUCCUCUUUCAUGAGCGGGAGGGAAGUUGCCUUUCC
rnacentral:lncRNA from 1 species